rnacentral:rRNA from 1 species
UACGUAGGGUGCGAGCGUUGUCCGGAAUUAUUGGGCGUAAAGAGCUCGUAGGCGGUCUGUCGCGUCGAUCGUGAAAACUUGGGGCUUAACCCUGAGCUUGCGGUCGAUACGGGCAUGACUGGAGUUCGGCAGGGGAGACUGGAAUUCCUGGUGUAGCGGUGAAAUGCGUGGAUAUCUGGAGGAAUACCGGUGGCGAAGGCGGCAUCCUGGACCGGCAUUGACGCUGAGGAGCGAAAGCCAGGGGAGCAAACGGG